AUAUUUGUCUGCAGAAAUCAGCUUCUGGACAGUGGUGAUGUUGGGCGCUUUAAGGAGAAAAGUUGCGACCGGAGGUUCAUCAGCUUCAGUAUUAGGGAAGUCCUUGCAGGUGAUUCGGCCGAGCGUUUCAGCAUCUAGAGUGUCUUCAAAUGUUGGAAAAGAGAUUAUGUUACUU